CCCAAAGGACUUGGCGGUGCCUCACACCCACCUAGAGGAGCCUGUUCUAGAAUCGAUACUCCCCGUUCAACCUCACCACCCCUUGUUCAACCCGCCUAUAUACCGCCGUCGUCAGCUUACCCUGUGAAGGUUCCAUAGUAAGCAAAAUGGACAUAACCCAGAACGUCAGGUCAAGGUGCAGCGUAUGGGGUGGGAAGAAAUGGGCUACAUUCCCUAAUUUAGGGUACUACGGAUAGUGCUGUGAAACCAGCCCCUGAAGGUGGAUUUAGCAGUAAGAGGGAAAUAGAGUGUUCCUCUGAAGCCGGCUCUGAGGCGCGCACACACCGC
rnacentral:rRNA from 1 species